rnacentral:lncRNA from 1 species
ACAGACCCCACACGAAACGUCCAGCUUCAGGCUGUUCAGAGGGCCCGUGAAAGAGCGGAGAGGCAUGGCCUCUCUGUUCCGACAUGGGACGAGCCGACGGCUGGGUGGGGACCUACCUAGUUGGCCCGCUGCCUUGCCUCUCAGGACCACAAUAAAGGGCUUUUUCCUGUC